rnacentral:misc_RNA from 1 species
CACCGCCACAGUUUUACCAGUGUGCCGAUGUUACAGUUGCAAAUCUGUAGGAGCAGCUGAAAGAAUGCUAUCGUGAUUUAUAAACACAAGAUAUCAUCUAAACUCAGUGACAGGGAGAGAAAGAGAGAGUAUGUGUGCAUGUUUGUGUUUUCUCCUGUUUGAAUUAUUUCACUAUUUUCAUAAUUUUUUGUCAUUUGAAUCUCUAUACUUUUUGAUGUGCAUUUUAUGUACCGUUAACCAUGGGAGAGGACGUUCUCCUCUUGAAUUCAUUAAUUUUGUUAAUUAACUUUUUUUUUAGUAUAAUGUUUUUCUUUUUCUACACCUAGUAUAUUUUUGAUAUGCAUUUGUUAUUUUCAAAAAUACUUUAAAAUACUCUGUUUGCACUUUACAUUAUUAAUUCCAGAAUUAAUAGUUAAUAUAUUAUUCCUUUAAUAAAAAUGAAGAAAAAUUUC